ACUGCUUCAGUUGUUGCUGCUGCGAGUACAUUGAAUACUAAGCUUCAACUCUGUCUUUGUCUUUACAUCACCACCGUCGCCACCACCACCACCACCAUUGCUGCUGCCACCACCACCAUCAUCGCCACUGCUACCACUACCUACACCACCUGCUCUGCUGCUGUACCUUCAUCAUCUCUAGCAUUACGACCACUAUCACUUCCAGCACCAACAUCACCGCUAUUACAUUCACUCCCCCACCAUCAACCCUUGUAGUCAACAUCACAUCCAACUAACUACUCCACAACCAUCAACACCACCAUCACCACCACCACCACCACCACCACCACCAUCAGCCUUAACUAUUGAGACACCACUACAACAACUACCACCACAUCCAUCAUCACUACCACCACUAACUUUGCCACAACCACUAACAUCAUCCACCCCACCCCCCGCCACACCAGGGAUCAUUUAGCUUGUUAGAAAUAGCAGCCAAAUAUCUCAUGCAUCACAUACUACCAUUUUAAGAAAGGAAGGACACUUUGAAAAAAUUAGUCCUAGUUACACUGUUUGGACCAAACACAAAACGGGAUGGCCACUGUUGGAAUGUCUUUGAUCAUAAGUCUAUUCCACCAGCAUUGUUGACAUGGACUUCAACAACAACAACAAAAUCCAUCACCAUUAUCAGCAUUAAAUAUUGAGACGCCACCAAUACCAACAUUGGUAUUACCAUAACCACUAACACCACCAUUACCACUACCACCACCACCACCACCACCACCACCACCACCACUAAUGUCCCUUGUCCCACCACGACAACGACGACCACCACCACCACUUUGCAUCAUCAAUCCCUGACACUUGCAGGAGACCACGGCUACUGAUGUUGCCACUGCACUAUCUGCUGCCGUUACCACUUUUUUCUGUCAGCGCCUGCUUGGAAUAUUGCCUGAGGAGGAAAAAAUGCAAGAAAGAAAGAAAGAAAGAAAGAAAGAAAUCAACUGCCCAAAAUUUGAAACUUUCAUUAAUAUAACAACAAGAAUAACUAUAGCGUCGACAACAUAAAAGAAAAAAUAACAAUAACAAUGAUAUAUAGCUUUGCGAAAAGAGAAGAAAAAAGAAACGAGAGACAAGACAAAAACAUAUUAACUAUCCUACUAAGUAGCAAUAACUAUAUUUAUUUACUAUUUAUAGCAACUUACCGAUAACUAUCCUUACUAUUUAAAGCAACUAUUUAUUAACUGUGUUUUUUUAUUUUUCAUUUCAUGUAUAUUUUAUUUUAUUCUAUUUACGCACUUUCGUUUCAUUAUUGUAACACUCGUAAACAAAGACGCUGAUCAUUAAUGUAACAUUCAUAAACAAAGAGAUUGACAAACAAACAAAAAAAAAAGCUUAAAAAAAAAAGGAAAAAACAAUCUGCCCUCUGCUUAUAAAUCCAUAAUAAUAAGCACUGUGGUUUCUUGAUGUGUUUAAAAAAGUGAGUGCAGACUGCAAGCUACAAAGACAAUGAUAACAAAAAUGAGAACAAGAAUAAAAUAGAAGUUUUCCAUGGUUUUUCACCAUUCUUGCCAGAAUUGACAAGUA